AACGAACGCUGGCGGCAGGCUUAACACAUGCAAGUCGAGCGCCCCGCAAGGGGAGCGGCAGACGGGUGAGUAACACGUGGGAAUCUACCCAUCCCUACGGAACAACUCCGGGAAACUGGAGCUAAUACCGUAUACGCCCUUUGGGGGAAAGAUUUAUCGGGGAUGGAUGAGCCCGCGUUGGAUUAGCUAGUUGGUGGGGUAAAGGCCUACCAAGGCGACGAUCCAUAGCUGGUCUGAGAGGAUGAUCAGCCACAUUGGGACUGAGACACGGCCCAAACUCCUACGGGAGGCAGCAGUGGGGAAUAUUGGACAAUGGGCGCAAGCCUGAUCCAGCCAUGCCGCGUGAAUGAUGAAGGCCUUAGGGUUGUAAAGUUCUUUCACCGAUGAAGAUAAUGACGGUAGUCGGAGAAGAAGCCCCGGCUAACUUCGUGCCAGCCGCCGCAGUAA
rnacentral:rRNA from 1 species